GCGCCUGUGGCUCAAAAGAGUAGAGCGCUGGCCCCAAAUGCCAGAGGUGGCAGGUUCAAACCCAGCCCGGGCCA
rfam:Otolemur garnettii contig186069, whole genome shotgun sequence.